AUGUCAUUUGGACUAACUAACGCUCCUGCCUAUUUCAUGAGUAUGAUGAACAAGGUGUUCAUGGAGUUCUUGGAUAAGUUUGUCGUGGUGUUCAUUGAUGAUAUCUUGGUAUACUCGAAGAAUGAAGAGGAACACAAGGAACAUUUGCGAUUAGUUCUCGAGAAGCUCAGGGAACACCAGUUAUAUGCCAUGUUUAGUAAAUGUGAGUUUUGGUUUAAGGAAGUUGGAUUCCUUGGGCAUGUUAUAUCAGGAGAAGGUAUAAGAGUGGAUCCCACCAAGGUUCAGUCAGUCACUGAGUGGUUGGCACCCACCUCAGUUGGAGAGAUCUGCAGUUUUCUUGGACUCGCGGGAUACUACCGGAGAUUCAUUGAGAAUUUCUCCAAGAUUGCGAAGCCGGUGACGGCAUUGUUGAAGAAGGACACCAAGUUCCAUUGGACUGAAGAUUGUGAAGCAAGUUUCCAGGAGUUGAAGAAACGUUUGACUACAGCCCCAGUGCUGAUUUUGCCGGAUGUACGCAAGGAUUUCCAAGUGUACUGCGACGCCUCUCGUUUAGGACUUGGAGGAGUACUUAUGCAAGACGGAAGAGUUGUUUCAUAUGCCUCAAGACAACUUCGACCGCAUGAGUUGAAUUAUGCCACGCAUGAUUUGGAGUUAGCAGCCGUAGUGCAUGCGCUCAAGACCUGCAGACAUUUUUUAUUGGAAAGCGUUGUGAUGUGUACACGGAUCACAAGAGUUUGA
rnacentral:rRNA from 1 species